UACAGAGGUGGCAAGCGUUGUUCGGAAUUACUGGGCGUAAAGGGCGCGUAGGCGGCCUUCUAAGUCAGACGUGAAAUCCCCAGGCUCAACCUGGGAACUGCGUCUGAUACUGGAUGGCUUGAGUUCGGGAGAGGGAUGCGGAAUUCCAGGUGUAGCGGUGAAAUGCGUAGAUAUCUGGAGGAACACCGGUGGCGAAGGCGGCAUCCUGGACCGAUACUGACGCUGAGGAGCGAAAGCCAGGGGAGCAAACGGG
rnacentral:rRNA from 1 species